rnacentral:rRNA from 1 species
UACGGAGGGUGCAAGCGUUGUCCGGAUUUAUUGGGUUUAAAGGGUGCGUAGGUGGCCGUAUAAGUCCGGGGUGAAAGCCCACAGCUCAACUGUGGAACUGCCCUGGAUACUGUAGGGCUUGAGAGUCGUCGAGGGUGGCGGAAUGGACGGUGUAGCGGUGAAAUGCAUAGAUACCGUCCAGAACCCCAAUUGCGUAGGCAGCUACCUAGGCGACAUCUGACACUGAGGCACGAAAGCGUGGGGAGCGAACAGG